CCUACGGGGGGCAGCAGUGAGGAAUAUUGGUCAAUGGACGAGAGUCUGAACCAGCCAAGUAGCGUGAAGGAUGACUGCCCUAUGGGUUGUAAACUUCUUUUAUAUGGGAAUAAAAUGUUCCACGUGUGGGAUUUUGUAUGUACCCUAUGAAUAAGGAUCGGCUAACUCCGUGCCAGCAGCCGCGGUAAUACGGAGGAUCCGAGCGUUAUCCGGAUUUAUUGGGUUUAAAGGGGGCGUAGGUGGAUUGUUAAGUCAGUUGUGAAAGUUUGCGGCUCAACCGUAAAAGUGCAGUUGAAACUGGCAGUCUUGAGUACAGUAGAGGUGGGCGGAAUGCGUGGUGUAGCGGUGAAAUGCUUAGAUAUCACGAAGAACUCCGAUUGCGAAGGCAGUUCACUGGACUGCAACUGACACUGAGGCUCGAAAGUGUGGGUAUCAAACAGGAUUAGAUACCCGAGUAGUC
rnacentral:rRNA from 1 species